rnacentral:lncRNA from 1 species
GCUGGGCUCCACCAUGCACUGGGCUUGAGGCCUGGGGCUGUCUUGGAGAGACAGAGAAGGGGAAUAUGAGUGAAUGAACGUGAUGUGUGUGGGGGCAAGAGUGUGUGAGUAUGAAUAUAUGUAUGAAUGAAUGUGUGAGUGUAUGAUGUGUGUUGUAUGACUCUGAUGUUUGAGCGUGUGAAGUAUGUGUGGUGUGUGUCUGAGGUGUGUGUAAGGGUGCAAUGUAUGUUGUGUGAUACGUGUGUGGUGUGUGUGUGGUGUGUGGCUACAGUGUGAGUGUGUGUAGUGAGUGUGAACAUGUAGUGUGUGGCUAUGAGAGUGUGAGUGUGUUAUGUGUAAUGUGUCUGUGUGAAUGUAUGAUGUGUGGCUAUGAGUGUGUAUGUGCUGUGUGGUAUGUGUGUGAAUGUAGGAUGCGUGGCUGUGUGAUGUAUGUGUGUGUGUGAAUGUGUGGUGUGCGGCUAUGUGUGUGUGCUAUGUGUUGUGUGUGGUAUGUAGUUAUGAGUGUGUGUCACUGCGUGGUGUGUGGCUAUGAGUGUGUGUGUGCACACUCUAUGCUGUGUCUAGUGUGUGAGUGGUUGAGUGUGUGAGUGUGUGGUGUGUGGUUAUGAGUGUGUGUGUUCUCUGUCUAGUGUGUGUGGUGUGUGGUUAUGUGUGUGUGAUUGUGUGUGUGGUGUGUGUCCAUGAGUGUGUGUGUGCUCUGUAGAGUGUGUGAGUGUGUGGCGUGUGGCUAUGAGUGUGUGUGUGCACUGUGGAGUGUGUGUGUGGUGUGUGGCUAUGAGUGUGUGUGUGCUCUGUGGAGUGUGUGUGUGGUGUGUGGCUAUGAGUGUGUGUGCUCUGUCUAGUGUGUGUGGUGUGUGGUUAUGUGUGUGUGAUUGUGUGUGUGAUGUGUGUCCAUGAGUGUGUGUGUGCUCUGUGGAGUGUGUGAAUGUGUGGUGUGUGGCUAUGAGUGUGUGUGAAUGUGUGGUGUGUGGCUAUGUGUGUGUGCUAUGUGUUGUGUGUGGUAUGUAGUUAUGAGUGUGUGUCACUGCGUGGUGUGUGGCUAUGAGUGUGUGUGUGCUGUGUGGUGUGUGGUUAUGAGUGUGUGGUGUGUGGUUGAGUGUGUGUGUGUGGUGUGUGGUUGUGUGUGUGCUCUGUGGAGUGUGAGUGUGUGUGCAUGUCUGUGAAGAUCAGGGUUUGGCUGGGCUGAGGCUGGGGCCUGCCGGGCAGGGCGGAAGGUGUGUGGGAUGGGAGUGGGCAGGAGAGCUUUUUGCAUCACGUGUGGCCCAAGUGAAACCCUGAAAACAUCCCAUUAGGUUACAAGACUUAAGAGUUAGGGGUGUGAGGACGGCUGGGCAGGCGGCGAAUGUCGGGAGUUUGAGGGGAUCAAAAUCCCCAGAACUGGGCUUGUUCCAUUUACCUUUAGCUGUUGCCCCUGGGUCAUGGGGGUUGGGGCCCAAGGGAAGACUGACUGCUGGUGAAAUUGUGAACUUUACAAUUCUUACAUCCUUAUUUUCUUCUUUCUUUUUUUCUCGUCUAAGCUCGAUUUCUCCUUUCUGACUCACAGGGCUACCAUGGUGCCCUGGCACUCUUACUCCCAGGGGAGUGUCUGCCAGGCUGGAGCACACCAUGGGGCAAGGGAGCCAAUGGCCCAACACCCUCUAGGGUCCAGAAGGGGUGAACCUGAUGGAAAACAUUCACAGCCCCCCGACAGCGGGUGGAGGGAAUAAAUAAUGCCAGAUCCAAUGGAAAGUGAAGUCCUUGAGGUGUGUUCAUUCGCUCUGUAUGAUGACCUUUUAGCUUAGGCUCUGCCAUCCUCCCUAUGUUACAGAUGGGCUAAGAAGAACGUUUCUCGUAAGGCAGUUGUGAGGAUCACAUGAGGCAAGUGUUACAAGGGACUCAGCACACAGCCUGCGAUGUGGUCAGAGUGCAGUGGAGAUGAGCCACCGCCACUGGGUGGAGCUUGUUGUCAUGGGUUCUGCUUGGUUAUUGCUUUUCUCUGCUUUGACCUCCGCAUGGCCGGGUUACAAGGGCCAUUUUCUGGGCCUUCCCAAACUGAGGGCCUCCAUCCUCAGGUGGUCCUCUCCAUGACCCAACACUGUUCUCUGCAAUGACAGACCACAAGAAUCUCCUUGUCUGGUGGACUCACCAAGAACAAGCCCCCUCCCCAGGUAGAGGUACCUGACUCAGGGACCCUGUUGUCCCGUCCUUCCAAGCACCGCAGGACCCCAGGCUUGCCUGUCCCAGAGCAAGCCACUCCACAGCAGCAGGGCCUUGGAGCAUUUACCUUUACAACAAUAAGCCCAUUUGUGACUUUUUUUUUUUUUUUGGCAGAGUCUCACUUUGUCCCCAAGCUGGAGUGCAGUGGCGCGAUCUCGGCUCACUGCAACCUCCGCCUCCUGCGUUCAGGCAAUUCUCCUGCCUCAGCCUCCC